GAACAAAGGGAACACCAGCGACAUUCGUCCUCUAUAGUUUUCUAUCUCUAUUGCACUGCCAAAUUGAGCAUUCAUCCGAGUUCAUUUUACUCUAGUUUAUCUUCCAUACACGGAGAGAAUGGAAAAUUCUAGUUAAUAUAUUUUAUAUGCGAUUGAACUCAUUUGUACAUUUUAUUCAUUGCAAAGCUUAGAAAACAGAUUCAUUUUAAGCUUUUCUAUGCAUAAUUUAGAAAUAUUAUUAGCUAAACAUAUUGAUCGUCCGAUAUUGCUCUGAGGACUUUGUAAAAUUUGCACGUUGCUCGCUUUCAGUCGUUUUCCAGCUGCAUUGUAAAAAGUUUCUUUCUUGCACGGGUCUAGUGUUAUCGUUUCACUAUUUUGCUGUUUAUUGUAUCAAAAUAACACAAAACAAAUCACACUUGAAUAUGAUUCGUCCAUCUUCAAAUGCAAAACACUGAUCCAGGAACACCACCGAUGGAAUCUGUACGACUUCGUGGAUGAUCCCCCAUUUAUCAAGCGCAACUUCCGGUAAGGAUCUUCAACCUACAACGGGUUUCUCCGCACCGUUUAAAGUGACUUUGAAAAACAGAUGUACGCCUCCAAACAUCCGCUGAGAUGAGCAUGUGGAAGUUCAUCUGCAGCA